GACGAACGCUGGCGGCGUGCUUAACACAUGCAAGUCGAACGGACAGACAGAGAGCUUGCUCUCUUGAAGUUAGUGGCGAACGGGUGAGUAACGCGUAAUCAACCUGCCCUUCAGAGGGGGAUAACAACGGGAAACCGUUGCUAAUACCGCGUACGAUUCAUGAACGGCAUCGUUUAUGAAUGAAAGGUGGCCUCUAUGUAUAAGCUAUCGCUGAAGGAGGGGAUUGCGUCUGAUUAGCUAGUUGGAGGGGUAACGGCCCACCAAGGCAAUGAUCAGUAGACGGACUGAGGGGAUGGACGGCCACAGUGGGACUGAGACACGGCCCAGACUCCUACGGGAGGCAGCAGUGGGGAAUCUUCCGGAAUGGACGAAAGUCUGACGGAGCAACGCCGCGUGAGUGAUGAAGGUCUUCGGAUUGUAAAGCUCUGUUAAUCGGGACAAAAGAGUUCUGCGUGAAUAAUGCAGAAAAGUGACGGUACCGGAAUAGAAAGCCACGGCUAACUACGUGCCAGCCGCCGCAGUAA
rnacentral:rRNA from 1 species